rnacentral:rRNA from 1 species
UACAGAGGGUGCGAGCGUUAAUCGGAAUUACUGGGCGUAAAGCGCGCGUAGGCGGCUUUGCAAGUCGGGUGUGAAAUCCCCAGGCUUAACCUGGGAACUGCAUUCGAGACUGCGUUGCUAGAGUAUGGGAGAGGGAAGUGGAAUUUCCGGUGUAGCGGUGAAAUGCGUAGAUAUCGGAAGGAACAUCAGUGGCGAAAGCGACUUACUGGACCAAUACUGACGCUCAUGUACGAAAGGGUGGGGAGCAAACAGG